rnacentral:tRNA from 1 species
AGGCUCGUCGUUCAAUGGAUAGGAUUUUCGGUUUCGGCCCGAUAGAUGGGGGUUCGAAUCCCCCCGAGCCUA